rnacentral:rRNA from 1 species
GCCUAACACAUGCAAGUCGAACGAGUAACAGGAAACAGCUUGCUGUUUCGCUGACGAGUGGCGGACGGGUGAGUAAUGUCUGGGAAACUGCCUGAUGGAGGGGGAUAACCACUGGAAACGGUAGCUAAUACCGCAUAACGUCGCAAGACCAAAGAGGGGGACCCUCGGGCCUCUUGCCAUCGGAUGUGCCCAGAUGGGAUUAGCUUGUUGGUGGGGUAACGGCUCACCAAGGCGACGAUCCCUAGCUGGUCUGAGAGGAUGACCAGCCACACUGGAACUGAGACACGGUCCAGACUCCUACGGGAGGCAGCAGUGGGGAAUAUUGCACAAUGGGCGCAAGCCUGAUGCAGCCAUGCCGCGUGUAUGAAGAAGGCCUUCGGGUUGUAAAGUACUUUCAGCGGGG